ensembl:lncRNA
UGGAGAUGCUCAGGUGGGAGCAUGUGAACCUGCACUGUCUUUUCAGUGACCUCAGGCGCGCCAGUCAGUUCUGUUGCAGGCCAUCUGGAAGAUGGGCUUUACAGGUCGCAGCGAGUAAGGUGACAGAUGGCUGGUUUAUAAUUCGGCCUGACGAAAGGUAGCUUGUGCAGAACAUGAGGCCAGCAGGAGGAUUGCAGGGAGCAGAGCAUGUGGCAUGGGCUGGUGAGCACAGGGAGGUGAGUGAGGUGCUCAGAGCCAGCCUACACACAGGUACACCUUGGUUCCAGAGCCACAAAGAGCAGCUAGAACAUACCAGCAAAUAUGGCCCACAAAGCUUAAUGAUUUAUAAUGCAAGUCUUUUAAUACAUAGAUAUAAUACAGUAUUGCACUUCUUUUAUAUCUGGUUAUUUUGCAUUCGACUAAAGUAAUCAUAAAAUUGGCUCAUCUUACUGCAGCCACUGUUCAUCCCAGAAGCAUACAAUUUCUUCAACUUCCACGCUAUUUCCUUAAACUUGGAAGAUGUUAACUUGACUGUCUUCAACAGAAGUAAUUAAGAUAUAGAGCAUGCUAUAAAGUUGUUUACCAUAAAGGGUAAAAAAAAAAUAAAAUGAAGAACACUCCAUACAUGUAUAAAGCUAAAUAAACCUAAAGGUAGGGCUAAAAAUAUCUAUAUAUUACUCAUAACUGUUUAUUGCAGUAACAUUGUGCUAAGGUGCUUUGGGUGUCCCGAAUAUUCACAGGUCAUCUUGUUUAGAUUUUUCUUUUGGCACAAGCUUUAUUUCCUGGGCCCAGUCAAAUACAAAAUACUUUACAAGGCCAACACUUUAAAAAAAUUAUAUAGCACAAUAAAAUGUCUGAUCUGUAUGUCUAGGUGAGCAGCUGAAUGUAAACACUUUAUUACUUCUUUUUUUGGUGGACUAUGAAAGUAUAUCACGUCACUGCAACUCAGCAAUUUUAAAAAUGACAGCAUUUAUAUAUCUGCUUACAGUAUCAUUAAUCAUGUAUGGCAAAUACAUGAUUUCCUGAAGCAAAAAACCAGUUACACACGUGGAAAAUCGUGAAUUCCUUCUGGUCAUCUCCAGCAUAAUUGGUUUCAUACAUCCAUCAAAUCGGCCAUCCUGCAAAGACCUAGCCAACACAGGGAAGCAGUUGUUGACUGAAAUUUACUAGCAACAAAACAGCAUGAGGACUUCAGUUCUGUACCAGCUUAAUUUGAGAGCAUUUUCAUUUCAUUUCAUUCCUUGGAGGUCUGAAUUUCAGUGGCAGAAAAUGAUGUGUUGUGCAAACUGUACAUCACCAGAGACGAA